ensembl:lncRNA
CAGCCGUCUCACCACCUUCCCUUAGAGAUCUGUUCCUCCCCCUAAAGGCCCUGGGGUUGAUUCCAGUGGGGCUGCCAACCACAGAUUCCUGAGCCCUGGCCACAAGAGGAUGAUGCAACCUAAGCCUGAGCCGUCAUAGAGCCCCACCCCCAGCCUGGAGCCUGAAUGAGGGGACUGAUCAAAGCUGGGCCAAUCAGCUGGGACUUCUACACAGGAAAGCAGGGGAGGGGAGAGAAGCCUUCUCAUUGCCUGGGCACAGCUGAGCUGAAUAAUAUAAGCCAGGAGCUUCUGGUGGCCAUGCCUCCUGUGCCUGUCCUCGCAAGGAUGAAGUCAUCCCCAGUAAGAGAAAAUGAGGCCUGAGCACAGAGAAAAGUCAAGACGAAUGACGGAGGCAAAGGGAUGGGAGUAGGAAGGUAACAGGAUGUGCGAUGGGACUGUUCCUGUUGUCCGGGAAUUCCAGCUAAAGCCCAGAGGCGAGGACAAAGAGGCUCUAAGCCAAGAAGCACACCACCUGCUGAAGCGAGCUGCCCACCAUGGCACACGCUGCCUACCCGGGCUCACCAAAAGCAUCCUCCUUUUUUUGAGGAAUUGCUCCUAUCCCACCCAUAAAAAUAGCUAAGAAUGCAGAAUUUGUGGAGAGGAUCAAAGAUAUUAAGAUGUCACAUUUACUGUUGCUGCCAUGACCGAAGCCGAAAAGCAGCACAGAACCGUGCGGAGGGUGGGCCCUGACUUGGACCUGCCUCUAAGGAGGGGUGAGCCUGGACUGCUGAGUGGGGGUGUAGGAGCUGCCUCUGCGUCUGCACCUUUAGCAGCCCUCUAGCCCAUCUCUGGCUUCAGCCACGGCUGUGGUAGGCAGUUCCACUCUGCUUUUGCUGCUGGUAUUCCACCUGCAGACUCAUGCCACCUGUCUUUCUCCAUUCCACGCUCAGACCUUCUCCCAAUGCCCGGAAGCUUUCUGGGCUGGCUUGCAAGCCCAGCUCAGAAAUGCAGAGGAGUUAAUACCCUAUAGGCAACCCUCAACCAACACAGAACGGUGGCUGAUGGACAAAUGCUCCAGCCUCCAGUCCAACAGGUGGAGACUUUCGGGAGAUAUUCUGCACGCUUCUCAGAGGUCCUGGUGGAAUUGAACUCCCACCGCUGACAGUAGUGACCUCAACAAUGCAUCCAUAGAUGAACUCUCCCCUUCUCUGUCUCACUCCCCCUGUCCCUUCACUCCUGCUUCCUGGGAUCACCUGUACCAAGUCUUGUCUCAGGCUCUGCUUUGGGGGACACUACAGUCUGGGAAAUGUUUGAUGUGGACAGAAGCAGGACUAAUGGUGGAACUUCUAAGUUAGCCUCCCUCCUGCAUGUGGGAUGCCUUGAAGAAAGCUGCAGCGUAGAUGAAAAGGAAACGCUAUACCAUCUAACAGCUGGGACACCGGAGACCAGGCGGUUCUGCUGCAGGCCCCAUAACCACCGAGGACACUAUGAGAAGCAGCGCCCUUCCUCGAGCUCUGAGAAAGCACCCCUGCUUGGACCGACUGAGACCUGUGUCAGCGAAAGCUGGGGCGGUGUGGGUGACAGGACUACCAGAACAGGGUGAUCCUGUCAGAGCCCCUCUCUUCAGGACUGCCAUGCCUUCAGCACAGCUCUCAGCAGCACCAGCUCUCCACUAACAGCCAAUGGAGCGCCGACCAACACCUGGCAAGUGAAUCUGGCUGCAGGGACAUCCCUAAGGUCCCCUCCCCCAGCAGGUGUCCACAGAGCAACACUGAGUAGGACUGAUUCCUGGGCAAAUGUAAGCAACCCUGGAAUAUUUGAAGGUAGAAUUAUUGAAAAAUAUUUGACGAAGAAAAGGAUUGAACUUUGUGCUAAUUUCACACCUAGCAGAUCAGAGCUGUAAUUGAGGCUUAAAAAGAAACACGAACGCACUUUAUCAUCACAAGUUGGUAAAGUCAGGAAUGUACUUUACAACCACUUUAUCAACAUUUAGUCAAACAUUUCCCAAAACUCAUUCAUUUGCCUAGUAUCUAACAAUUUACUAUCUGUACUAUUCGUUACUUAAUAUUUUUCUUUAAACCAAAACACUUUUUCAAACUUAAAUAUCCACUUAAGCUUCAUAUUGAAUGAAAAUAAAUGUGGAAUUAUGGAUCUGGUGCUACUUAUGUUUUUCUAACACAUAUGAAAAUAAGCACAUAACUAUUAGAAAAAUCACCUCAAUUUAUAUGUGGUAUGCGUAUUUCACAUUGGGCAACAUCGAUUAGCCAUGACUAUAAAUUGUCCUGACUUUGUUUCUCAUUAGAUUGCUAAGGUAUUACAAUGGUUUUUGCUUUCUGAGAUCUUAAUUCUCCGUGAAUUUUCCUUUGGUCAUAAUUGUUCCGCAAAGGUUGUUUCUCAGAAAGAGUACUUUCGAUACUUGACAUUCCUGAAAGUAUCUCUCUUUUGUUCUCAGUUUGCCUACCGCAAAAUUUUAAUAAUUCUCAAUCUACAGGAUUAUUUACAUAUUGCCCCAUUGUCUUCUAAUUUUUAACACUGCAAAUGAGAACUCCAACGCCAGUCUGAAUCUCUUUCUGUAGGAAAGUUUAUAGGAUUUUUACAUUAUCCUUGAAAUUCAGAAAUUUUACCAGCUAUGUCCUUGGGUGGAAUUUUUGCAGCAAUUCUGCCCAGGACUCAGUGAACCACUUCAAUCCAUAGAUAAAACAUUCUUCAGCUCAGGAAAUUUUCUUUAGUUAUUUUGUUAAUUGACACUUCACUUCUACCCAUCCUUCUUACUUAUUCUAAGACUCCUGUUAUAUGAAUAUUGGAACAUUAUAUCCAUCUCUCUCUCUCUCUUUUUUUUUUUGAAGAUUAGCCCUGAGCUAACAUCUGCUGCCAAUCCUCCUCUUUUUUGCCGAGGAAGACUGGCCCUGAGCUGAUAUCCGUGCCCAUCUUCCUCUACCUCAUAUGUGGGAACCCCACUACAGCCUGGCCUGUCAGGUGGUGCUUAGGUCCACACCGGGGAUGUGAACAGAUGAACCCCAGGCCUCUGAAGCAGAACGUGCAAACUUAACUGCUAUAUCACCCGGCUGGCCCCACCUCUCUCUUAUUUUUUAUCUCAUGAAUUUGUCUUUGUUCUGAGAGGAUUGUAUUAAUUCUUGUGAGUUUAUCUGAUAACGCACUCCGUCAGUUUUCCAUAGUAUAUAUGCAUUUCUGUUUUAUUUUUGGGCACAUACAAUCAUGUAUUUUAUUUUCAAGGACUGUUUCUUGUUCUCCAUUUCAUGCUUUUCUUCUCCUCUAACAAUUCACUGAGAUACAAAUGCUGAUGAGGAUUUUAGGCUGGGUAAUUUUAAAAAACUGCAGAUGAGAAGCAGGCUCCGAGGACUGGAAUUUGCUUGCUCUUUGAAAGACAUUUGCAUUUGUGAAGGAAGGGGGGAUGACCUUGUAGGGACCUGAAAUUGGCCACGCCAGGAUGUGUCUCUUUGGCAUCGGGAUUGUUUUGGGUUGAUUGCUUUCGAUAAACUGGGACAGGGAAGGAGGCUCUGGGGAAUGGAACUUGCCCUUCUUGGGACACAUUUACGUUUGUAAGGUAAAUCUCUAUCUGUAAAAGGUGCCUCCCUCUCUGUACCAGGAAGAAGAAGAGAGAUGACCUUGUCCCUAGAAACUCUUAAUGGGGAAGGCAAGAACUUAAGUUGAUUGCUGUCUGGUAAUCUCAUGUAACUGAUUUAGGGUGGUGGCUUCUAACCUUUCUAACCUUUACUUAAUCCGAUUUCAUUCUUGUCUAAAAGUCAUGGGAUCACCCAAUGACCAGACCCCACCUGCACUGAUACCAUUGUAACUUUUGUUCAUGUUCUUUCCUUUGUCUUGUAAAGAGAUGACUCACAUACCCAUGCCUUAUAAAAUUAGCCCUAACCCUCAACUCGGGGCAGCAGCAGCGGCUCUGCCUGCCCAUGGGCCCUGUCCCCAUGCUAUUCCACACUAUUCUCUAAAUAAAAGAGCACUACUGCCAGAUCUUGAGAGUCCAGGAAAUCUUUCUUUCGACUCCUCGGCUCACCAACCCC